GAUGAACGCUGGCGGCGUGCAUAACACAUUCAAGUCGAACGGAGUUUAUGGAAGGAAGUCUUCGGAUGGAAUGAAGUAAACUUAGUGGCGGACGGGUGAGUAACGCGUGAGCAACCUGCCUUGGCAUGGGGGAUAACGUUUGGAAACGGACGCUAAUACCGCAUAUCGCAUAGGGACCGCAUGAUCCUUAUGCAAAAGAUUUAUUGUGCUAAGAUGGGCUCGCGUCCCAUUAGAUAGUUGGUGAGGUAACGGCCCACCAAGUCGACGAUGGGUAGACGAAAUGAGAGGUUGAACGGCAACAUUGGAACUGAGAUACGGUCCAGACUCCUACGGGAGGCAGCAGUGGGGAAUAUUGGGAAAUGGGCGAAAGCCUGACCCAGCGACGCCGCGUGAGGGAAGAAGGUCUUCGGAUUGUAAACCUUUGUUGAUAGGGACGAACAGAUGACGGUACCUAUCGAGGAAGCCACGGCUAACUACGUGCCAGCAGCCGCCGUAACAC
rnacentral:rRNA from 1 species